rnacentral:tRNA from 1 species
GUCUGGGUGGCUCAGUUGGUUGAGUGUCUGACUCUGGCUCAGGUCACAAUGUCAUGGUUCAUGAGUUCAAGCCCCAUGUCAGGCU